UACGGAGGGAGCUAGCGUUGUUCGGAAUUACUGGGCGUAAAGCGCACGUAGGCGGCUUUGUAAGUUAGAGGUGAAAGCCCGGGGCUCAACUCCGGAACUGCCUUUAAGACUGCAUCGCUUGAAUCCAGGAGAGGUGAGUGGAAUUCCGAGUGUAGAGGUGAAAUUCGUAGAUAUUCGGAAGAACACCAGUGGCGAAGGCGGCUCACUGGCCCGGUACUGACGCUGAGGUGCGAAAGCGUGGAGAGCAAACAGG
rnacentral:rRNA from 1 species